AACCCCCGCCACAAUCUGGCGUUGUCGGCAGGAUCUACUCUUCCAACAGGCAAAGACGUGUGUUCCUUGUGGGUUUUAUUUUUUUUCCCUUGUGUUUUUUUCUCUGGUGUACUAAUGUUGUUUUUCUUGUAGGCAUCUGCACGAAUUUAAAGAGACAAAGCAGCAGUGGUUUCCAGUGGACCUUCGUGCCAGUUUUGUGGCUGCAGGCUGGUGGUGGUGCUGGUGACGUGGGUGGUGGUGUCCCUCCUUCUUGUGUGCUGUGCUUCCUUGGAUUCGGUGAUACCACAGUGUGUGACUGCCACGUGUGUCUGGGUGAACCCUUUUUCUUUAAUUUAAUUUUGUUGAGUCCCCUUCCCCUUCACCUGCUCUUUCCCCACCAGUAGGCCUCAGCCCCUGAUUAGGCUCCCUUUUUCAUUUAUUGGGAUGAAUGCUAUUUUUUAUAAUGAUAUAUAUAUUUAUUAAAUAAAGUAUUUUUGUAAACUGGGAA